GGUGACCUGACAGAUAUGUGACAAUGAUGAUAGAACUUUCUAAGAUAUGAAGCUUACAAAAAUGCAUUUUCUUCUGAGAAAUAAGAAUGAGGGUCUGCAAUUAAUUAAACAUAGAUUUACUUGAAAAUUUUUACAUAUUACAGUGGCAUUUAAAUUUAGCUGACUAAAAAUGUUCAAAAGGGCAUGGAAUGUAAAAAACAGUGCUCUACAGAAUUAAGAGUCACAAAAGUGCUUGAAAAGGUUUGUCACCCAGAUAAUGGGGAAAGUUAAAAAGGAUAUCAAGUAUUGCAAAGUAUCUGAUUAGUAGAGAGACUAAAUUCAGAUGCCAGCAUAAAGUUUAAGUACCUCACACUGUUAUUUAACUUGUGUUGGCCAAUAUAAACCAAAUUUAGAAAAUUCAUCUUUCAUGCCUAAUAUGUGAAUGAAGAAAAACAAAAAAAUUUUAAAGAAAAUUCAUCCUUUUAUAAGCAUAACUGUUUGUG
rnacentral:lncRNA from 1 species